CGCGGGAGCGGGAGGUGCCGUUGACUUGGCAACACCGCUCCUCCUGCCUAUUAUAUUUUUCGAUCGUCAUUUGGGUGACACAAAUUUUAGUCCGCGAGCGAUCAGACUCGGAGGUGUGAUGGGGAAUUUGUGCUCUUGCUGCAAAAAACAGGGAAAGGACCCGCCCAAAGAUGGGAAGGGGGAGGACAAAUCAUCAAACGAGAAGAAACCUGAUGGCAUGGAGAUCCCGAGCAUAGCCGACGAGGAGCUGCAGUACAUCGACGAGGAGCCGCCGAACGAGAGCAAGAAGCAACCCGAGUAAUGCACCGAGCAGGUCAUCCCCGACGCCAUCACACUCUCCUCCAUGUGUAAUUACUACGCCAUUAUGGACUGCACGCCUGCAACUGUGAAGAAAGCAUUGGACGUCGAUGAACGCCUGCCAGAAUUUGUGUCGCCCGGUGCUUGGGACUCGAGGUGAUGCAGCCACGACUAGGCGCAGCUGUCAAAUUCAGCCACGGUGCUUUCACGACUCACCCCGACACCCACUCAUCCAUCUCUCAUUCAUCCAUUCGCUUCAACCUGUUUGUCGAUACAAUGUUGUCUGCGAGCCAGACAAAGCACGCAGCUAUAUGCAUGUACCAAGCUAAUUGUCCUAUAUUUUACAACAACUACGUGUACAACUAUUAUACAUAUAUAAUUUUUAAACUCGCGCGCGGUGUUUUAAUACUCGUCUCUUCGUCUCGCCUCAAGACUAACUGCAUUUAUUUUUAAACACACACAAGUCUCACCUACAACCUACAAGCAAUAAAGAAUAAAUUCGUAUUUGCUUCUAUCAAAACGGACAAUUUGUGGACCUGGUUCAAGAAAAAUCCUUAUUGCCAAGCACCUGCCUUCGAUUUAGCAGCAGAUAGACGAACGGAAGAUAAAACAUUUAGGCUGCUUGCCUUUCAAAUUUUAAAGAAACAUUUUUGGCAUUUAUCAGUGCUGUUAUAGAAAACCAAUUGAUUGGGUUCUUUGAGAUCUUAUAUUAAGAACUGUUCUCAUCUUGUAAGCUUAAAGAAUUGAUGUUUACCACUAAUAAAUCCUAAAUUAAAUAGAAA